ACAAGUGGACUGAGUCAUGUUGGUAGAUGUUGGCUGCGUGGUUGGGGUCCGCGAGACGAAUGUCACCAAUUGCACAGGGCAUCCACUCUUUGUG
rnacentral:precursor_RNA from 1 species